AGGGCUUGCAUCUGCAGAAAGCUGAGAAUUGUGAUGUGAUUUCAUCUCAUAAAUGUUUCAAGUUCAGGUCUUUUCACUUAUUUCUGUUUCAUUGUGUCUCCAGGAAAAAGAACCUAUAUAGCAAAGCUGGCCUAGCUUUGGGAUGUUGGUCAGGAAACAAAUACAGCAGCUGGAGUCAGGACAGAGCAGGAAUUACAGCCAUGGGUGGUGCAAAGUCAGUAAAGGAGCAGUGAAAGCUGCUGACUUGGGAAGGGCCAGCUCUACAGGAACACAAAGCUGGAAGUUAGACAGGACCUCAUGAGGUUUACAUUCACAGAGCCAGUCAGUGAAGUGUGAGCAGGGCAUGUGAGUCUCAGAAAAUGCCAG